GCCCCAUCCUUGCUUUGCUUAUUUAUUUAUUUAUUUAAAAUAAUAUCAAACAAAUGCAUCAUCCUCAUGUGUUGAAAUGAAAACAAAGAAUGCGGACUUACUUUGUUUGCUGAUAAGAAUUAUAACUAAUAACUUCCACGGCUGAAACUUCUGCAGUCUUCAGGUGUGUGUCGUGAUGACGACGUCAGCUCAGGUGUUCACCGCUAAACUUUUGCGUCAAUGCCGCAAACCGGUAAAAAGACGCUUGUUGAAAACAGCGCAAUAAACAAACGACGGCGCAACGGAGGAAUGCUAGCGUUAGCAAAGCGCCCGGAGAGGAGGAUGCUAACAUGCUAGUGGAGGAGGAAGGUGCUAAUGUUGCUAACGUUAGCCGAGCAUCAGCGAGAGCCGGAGACAGACCGACACACACCUGCUCCACUGACCCGCCCUCACUGAAGCCUCACACCGGCCCACAGAGCACAGACACCCGCUGACAGAUUUCGGAAGCAGCAGAUCAGCAAGACUUGCUCACAGUGACCACAGGGAAUCAAAUAGGAAAAACCUCAGAAGGCUUCCAGAUUAUCUCAGAGGUCUGGAGUUGUCCGACUUGUUUAAUUAUACAGCAGCUACGUGUGUUUGGCAGCCAGAUGGACAGCGAGGAACGGACCAGAUACUCAUCACCAGACACAUCAAUCUGAGGUGUGUGAACGGAGAAGAGACGAGGACGGCCUGGGACACUCCUCUCCACCCAACAAAGGGGGAUGAUGGAUGUUGGAGAAACUCUGAUGCCAUGUCAGGGCGGGGAAGCCAUCUGACAUGUUUGGUCUACAGUUUAAACAGACUAAACGCCGACAUCCCAGAAAUAUUGUAUCUUCAAAUUCUGUGCCGUAUGUUUUUCCUGGGUUCAGUUUCUGUCGGCAGGUUUGGUCCAUGAAAGCAGACGCACCUAAACAGGUAAAAGAAAAACAAUUACUCAGGUUCAAACAGGCAGAUGCUGCUUCAUCUUCUAUUCUGCACCAACAUUUAUAAACCAUAGUGCUCACAUCCUGUUAUAUUAACCAGAGUUUCCAUAAGCAAUAUCAAAGUAUCCCACCAAUCUAUUUGAAAUACUGUUUCAUCUAUUCUAUUUGUUUCCUGUUUGUGCCUUUGGGGAAACUGAAGCAUUGAACAAGAUUGAUUUGAAAAAAAACUAUAGGAUGUAGUUUUCCUCUGGGGAAAUGUGUCAUUUAAAUAUUCAGUUACUUCUUAACCAAUGUCAGAAACCAAAAAGGAUUUGUUUCUGUACAAGAUAUACAUUUGUAAGGCAUGUAGUUGGAUCUCCACCCGGUGGUUUUUAUAUUAAUAUGGUAAAGCUGUGAGAGCAUUGAGGGCAUUUCAGCAAUCAUCCACCAACAGAAUCAGACUGAAGUAGAAUGAAUGCUGGAGAACCAACGCCUGAAGUGCACAGUGAGCUGCUCUAGUAUUCAGCAGCAAAAUCUGUUGUUUCUUCAGUUUAUGAGUCAAAUUAGAAUAGUCAGAAAAACAGCUCAUUGCCCUCUAGAUUUACAAUAAACUUUUUUAUUAAAAAUGAAUGGAGAAUACUUAAACACUUAUUUUUACCCGAAAAUAGGAGUGUAGAUACGUGAAUCGGCCACCAGGGGGCAUCUAAUAUCCUGCCUCCUUACCAUGACCUACAGUGAGACAGUAUGUUAUCAUCAUUUGUUGUCAUGUUAAAUGUUAGAUUUGCAUAACUCAGUAUUCUGCAUUAAAUGGUGAAUUAAAUUAUCAUCUAAUUAAGCUCGCAGUCAUUGUGCGUGUUGUUAUUUUAAAAUCAGUGCAGCCAUUUCGUAGCAAUAAUAUAACUGUUUGACAAAUGGUCAAAGCCUCCUUCACCGAAUUAAUCUUGUUCUAAACGAGAGCCACGUUUCAAUGUAAACUCCAAUCCAUCACCAUUGAGAAUGAGGCCGAACUAAUGUGGUGCGGCUAAUGAAACGACCAGAGCCGGAUCGGUUCAUCUCCAAGCCCCCUGAACUGCCCCGGAAUCUCCCACAACCCGUGUUUUAUUGCCACUCAUUAACGGUGCGAGACAGAGCUUUGCUGUAAUUAAAAGUUAACCACUGGGUGUGUUUGCGGCCAUCUCAAACAUUUGUCAUGUCGUUCGGGGAUUAAAUCGGACCAAAAGGUUGUGAUUCUGCAAAGUGUAAUUAGACUUUGAACAAAUGAAUUGUUCACACAAUUAUAAUAUAUUAGUAGAAACUGUAAAAACAGCUUUAAAAGAAGAGGAGUUAGAGCUUAUACCACAUAAAAUAUGU